rnacentral:rRNA from 1 species
UACAGAGGGGGCAAGCGUUGUUCGGAAUUACUGGGCGUAAAGGGCGCGUAGGCGGCCAACUAAGUCAGACGUGAAAUCCCCAGGCUCAACCUGGGAACUGCGUCUGAUACUGGAUGGCUCGAGUUCGGGAGAGGGAAGUGGAAUUCCAGGUGUAGCGGUGAAAUGCGUAGAUAUCGAGAGGAACACCUGCGGCGAAGGCGGGUUGCUGGGCUGACACUGACGCUGAGGCGCGAAAGCUAGGGGAGCGAACGGG